AAGGCAUUACACAAGGGCAGCCAGUAACAUCUGGAUGUGCACAGCUGAAUCGUCAGACUAGAUUCAGUUCUCUGAGGUGUGAGUUUGAUCUCAGAGCUUAAGUCAGAGCAGCACAACCUUCAUCUGUGAUAUUACAAUUACUUAACCUGCAGAACAAUGACACAAUCUCUAAAUCUGUUUUUUCCAGUUUACAGUGAGGAUCCUUCAGUCCAUCAGAGAGCAGCGUCAGACCUUCAUCUCCUAUUUUAUUCUGAGACAGACUCAGUUCUCUGAGGUUUGAGUUUGAUCUCAGAGCUGAAGCCAGAGCAGCACAACCUUCAGCUGUGAUAUAACACCCCCAUAACCUGCAAAACAAUGACACAAUCUCUCAGUUCAGCAGAAACUACACAACCAUAGAGAGACUGGGAUAAAUACUAAAUCUGUUUUCUCCAGUUUAGUGAGGAUCCUUCAGUCCAUCAGAGAGCAGCAUCAGACCUCGACCUCCUAUUUUAUUCUCUGAAAGAUCCACUUCUCUGAGGAGUGAGUUUGAUCUCAGAGCUGAAGUCAGAGCAGCACAACCUUCAUCUGUGAUAUUACAAUCAAACAACCUGCAGAACAACGACACAAUCUCUCAGUUCAACUUAGAAAAUGUGCAGAGCGAUGGGUCCCCAGGACCAGAGAUAAGAACCACUGACAUAAAAUGAAUAUAAAUAUCAGUCGUCACUCUAUAUCUGUCAGUAACAUGAUAUUUAAAUGCUUAGUUUUAUUAUCAAAGUCCUGUAAUUUCACAACAUAUAAUGAAUGCAAUUCAAUAAUGUUUGAGAGAUGAACAAAUAAAUAUUCUUUAAAAGUCUGAUGGUAGAUCAUAUUUAAUAUAUUUGAACAUGAUUUAAAAAAAUGUAUGGAUGACUAAGUAAACCUCAGUCGACUCGCUUUAGCCCAGAAAAUGAUCAUCUAGAUAUAUCAUUAACAAUGUAAAGGUUAUUCUUGUUUACUUCAUAAAAUUAAGUUAAGAUUUAAAGGCAAAAAGACACACGUGAACCACGAACUUAAGAGACACAUUUUAAAACUAUUCUAAAAGACCUUGGGACACUUGAUAUUCAACAAUGUUUUUGAUCUGCCUGCACUGACACCAUUGUAUGCAAACUGAACUGAG